GGCCCGCCUCAGCCGCUGGCGGCCAUUUUGCGCGCGGGCAGCGCGCGGCGGGCGGCGGCGACGGGCGCGGCCAUUUUGGGUGCCCCCUCUCCCCACACAUGGUAAAGGCACCCGGAGAUGGCAGUGUGUGAAGUUUGCUGCUGUAUCUUGAGGUGUGUAACAGGAGUUUUCAGUUCCUCGUUCCUCCUGAGCUCUAAAUUUCCUCACCACAGGAAGCUGCUUUGUUAAGGACCAGCUUACACUGACCUGUCAUGGCAUCCAACAAAUUUGUCAUUAAGG